GUACUUGCUUCGGCAGCACAUAUACCAAAAUUGGAAGGAAACAUAAAACAUUAGCUUGACCACUGUGUGAGGAUGACAUGCAUAUUUGUGAAGUGUUCCAUAUUUUA